rnacentral:ribozyme from 1 species
CGUCGUUUGGGCGACGUAAAAUAGCCGUCAAGCCCAAAGCGUAGAGAGCUCCGAGUUGGAAGUUGGAGCUCUCUGGUCGGG